GCAUCUUCGGAUGUGUAUAAAGUGGCGAACGGCUGAGUAACACGUGGGCAACCUGCCCUUUGCACUGGGAUAGCCUCGGGAAACCGAGGUUAAUUCCGGAUACUCCAUAUUUGUCGCAUGGCGAAUAUGGGAAAGCUCCGGCGGCAAAGGAUGGGCCCGCGGCCUGUUAGCUAGUUGGUGGGGUAGUGGCCUACCAAGGCAAUGAUGGGUAGCCGGGUUGAGAGACCGACCGGCCAGAUUGGGACUGAGACACGGCCCAGACUCCUACGGGAGGCAGCAGUGGGGAAUCUUGCACAAUGGGCGAAAGCCUGAUGCAGCGACGCCGCGUGCGGGAUGAAGGCCUUCGGGUUGUAAACCGCUUUCAGCAGGGACGAGGCCGCAAGGUGACGGUACCUGCAGAAGAAGCCCCGGCUAACUACGUGCCAGCAGCCGCGGUAAUACGUAGGGGGCAAGCGUUAUCCGGAUUCAUUGGGCGUAAAGCGCGCGUAGGCGGUCUGUUAGGUCAGGAGUUAAAUCUGGGGGCUCAACCCCUAUCCGCUCCUGAUACCGGCAGGCUUGAGUCUGGUAGGGGAAGAUGGAAUUCCAAGUGUAGCGGUGAAAUG
rnacentral:rRNA from 1 species